rnacentral:rRNA from 1 species
GGGAGUACGCCGGCAACGGUGAAACUCAAAGGAAUUGACGGGGGCCCGCACAAGCGGUGGAGCAUGUGGUUUAAUUCGAUGAUACGCGAGGAACCUUACCAGGGCUUAAAUGCAGAACGACCGGCGUGGAAACAUGCCUUUCUUCGGACGGACUGCAAGGUGCUGCAUGGUCGUCGUCAGCUCGUGCCGUGAGGUGUCGGGUUAAGUCCCAUAACGAGCGCAACCCCUAUCUUUAGUUGCCAGCGGAUAAUGCCGGGGACUCUAGAGAAACUGCCAGCGUAAGCUGUGAGGAAGGUGGGGAUGACGUCAGAUCAUCACGGCCCUUACGUCCUGGGCUACACACGUGCUACAAUGGCAAGGACAAUGAGCUGCCAACCCGCGAGGGUGAGCAAAUCUUCAAACCUUGCCUCAGUUCGGAUCGGAGUCUGCAACUCGACUCCGUGAAGUUGGAAUCGCUAGUAAUCGCGUAUCAGCCAUGACGCGGUGAAUACGUUCCCGGGCCUUGUACACACCGCCCGUCAAACCAUGGAAGUUGGGGGUGCCUGAAGUCCGUCACCGUAAGGAGCGGCCUAGGGUAAAACCAAUGACUGGGGUUAAGUCGUAACAAGGUAACCGUAA